CUAAUUAUUAUAAUCUGCGAACAGAACUUAACCUACUCGUUAUUUAUAUAAAUUAUUACAACAAUUUUAAAUAUAAACAUUAACAAAUAAUAGAAUAUGAAGUUAAGAAACGAACUAUUAAGUAUAUUGGAAAAUAAAAAUGAAUCCUUUGGUAAUCGCCUCAAACUAGCCGACACCAUUAUAAGAAUCCCGGAAAAAUUGUUAGAGGACGAAGAAUCUAUUAUUAUCAGAUGGCUUUUAAAUGAAAUAAAUCACGAAAGCCCUGAAUCAUGGGAAAUAUUACUUUCUUGGUUAACAUCAGAAAAGUUGAACUGUGUGUUUAAUGCUAAUUCUAUAACUUUGAAUCUUCUUAUACAAGCUAUUUUAAUUAAUAUACAGAAAGUUAACAGCCAUCUCAAAGAAACAUUGAUAAGUAUUUCUUUGUUAAUUCUAGAAAACAAUGUCCCUCAAAGUUUUAUCAAGUCAAACAUAAGUGAUUAUUGCUGUUUUCUGUUUACAGUUAUAAAUGAGAUAGAUAAUCCACUAUCUUUAGCAAAAUUUUUGGAUAAAGAUAUUUUAUACAACAAAAAUGUUGUUACCAACAAUACUUUCAUAUUAUAUUUUGUCAAUAGUGGAAUAAGUAUUUUAACAAAAGUUAGAAAAAAAUUUUGUGGUAAUCAAAAUGUUUGCAGAAGUAUUUCAACAUUCAUCGAAAAGGGCAUUUUUCAACAUAGUAAAAAGGCUUUUGAUUUAUACUACUCCAAGUUAUUUGAAGACAAAAAAUGUUCAGAAGAAAUAUUUUUUCCAAAAUUGUUACUUAAUCAAUUAAAGACUGCUGUGUCUACGAAUAGAAUAGACACACAAAUCAUGUUUGAAAUAAUAUUUGAAUCUUAUAACUAUUGCUACCAAAAUGAUUUUGGAAGCAUUUACAAAUUUAUCAUUUUAAUUCUUGAUAUGCUGGGAUUUUCACAAAAAAUAUUAUUGGAAGUCAAACUGAAUGAUUCACAAAAUUUGAAUUUAAAUUGCACAGAAGCUCUGGAUAUUAUUGCUAGUAUAUUUAGGAUUUUAACUUCAAAUAAUAUUGAUUUAAAUUGUAAAGUUAAAGAAGUAACAUUUGAGAGUUUUCUAGAAGACUUUAUAGUUUCAUUAGUAGCAGCAGUGAGACAUCCAACUGAAGAUGUAUAUGAUAUUUUCUUGCAUCUUUCAUCAAUUGCCCCUCUUUCAAUUGAGAGGAAGCUAGAUAUUUUAUUGCCUUAUUUCCUACUUACAACAAAACACAAUGAGAAAUAUCCACAAUUAUUAAAUAUCUUUAUGGAUAUAUUUGCAAAAUUACACAGACUGCAAAGUUUUGUUUCAAAAAUGGUAAAACUAAUGAAGGCUCAUUUGUGUAACCAUAAUGACACACAUGAUAUUUAUAAUAUUGAAACACUAAACAUUGAUUCAAUGUUUCCAAAACUUGUGCAAGAUAAUUUUACAAAUUCUUUGGCAGCAUUGGCUAGUUGGCAAGUUAUGAACAUUUUUAAAACCCUUAUUUUCCAUCUUAAUGAAGUUCAUGACGAUUUACAAACAUUAGCAGAUGAUUUUAGAUAUGUGCUCUACGUUGAGAUUAUCAGCAUGCUUACUUGUCUUUUACUGAGUACCACUAGAAUAGCCGAGCAUACGAUUUCCGAAACCAUUGUAGAUAACUUCAUUUGUGGAAUGAAAGAAUUACAAGAUAUUAUUAAGAGUUUUGGAAUUUCUCUUGUUAAGAGGGAGCAUAAUCCAAGAUUAAUGUAUGCCUACUUAAAUAUCUGUUAUAACUGGGCAGAUUUAUCAAUACUAAUGAAAUGUCAUUUAAAUAGAAGAAACAUGCACUUCAAUCUAACUCUUGACAGUGAUAAUACUGGGUAUAACAUAACUUCCAUCCAUCCCUACUUAACAAGAGAUCAGUGGUGUCUUAUUGCAGAAAGAAUUACAAAUUUUGGGGAAGCUCCUUGUAAAAAAAUAAUGCAUAAACUGUUAGUUCAAAAAUUAAAGGCCUUAUUUAUUUUUGAAAAGGAAUUUUAUGAAGAAGUUGAAACGAGCGUUAUAAGAAUUAUUAACAAGAACAUCGAUAGUACUUGGGAAGAUUUAUUGUGUGAUAAUUUUGCAUUAAAACACAUUGGUCCAAGAUUAGAUAAAACUUCUUUAUUGCAAUUAUCUGAAAUUAUUUUUAAACAAUUCCAUAAAAGUGAUAAUAUAUUUCUUAAAAGAAAUGCUGAAAUUUCAAAUUGUGAAGCUUUAAUUUCAGCCAUACUUUAUACAAAUCUAUCAAAAAUAAGUGGCUUAUUUAAAGGAAAGAGAAAACAUGGUGAAUCAGCUGUAAAACAAAUGAGAACAUACACCUUUUUUUGUAAUAUUCCUUGUGAUAUUAUUCUUUCUAAUGGCAAUACAACUGCAGAUGAGUUCGAUGUUGUUUUAAGUAAUUUUAUUACAACAGCAAAUCUAAAAGAUACGGAUACUAAAGAUGAUUUUAAUGAAAAGAAAAUUUACGAAUAUUUAGAAAUAUUUGGAAAAUUACCGGUCCUGUUUUUGUCACAAGAAGUUGAAACUGCUCUUUUUCUCUAUUUUAUAAUAAUUCUGUUAGAUUUGAAACUUCUUCAGUCUGCUGUAAGUGAAAACUGCGAGAGGAUUAUUAUUGGUUUUCUAAAAAAUGAAAAAAUUCUUUUUGAUAGAAUACCAAACAUGGAUUUUAUUUUGCAAACUAUAUUAAAAUGUUUUAACAAUUAUGAAGAGGCUUUUGCUCUUCUGUGUAUUAAUAUACUUACAAAGUAUAAUGGUAGCAAUUUAUUAGAAGUGAAAAAAGAAUAUAAAUUAGUAGAAGGUAUUAAAAAUUUUUUAUUGCCAAAUAUAAGAGAACCAAAAUAUUUACAACUUGCAAUAGUUACUAUUAAACAGAUAAAUAAGUUCAAAAAGUUGAAAAUAUCACAAGAAGGGAAAAAUGAAAUUUAUACUUUGCAAUUACAAAUGUUACUUGGUUGUGCUAAACUCUUAGAGGAGGUAGAUUUAUUUUCGCAACCGCAUUUUAUUGAAUGUUACAAUUUAGUUUUGAAGCAUGCAUUAGAUAAAGAAGAUGAAACAAUUCUGCCACAACUUAUAUUAAAGUUGGAAGAUUGUCUUAAUAACAUAUGUGUGGCAAGAGAAAGAGCAAACGUACAAGAAUGUGUUAAAUUAUUUAUAACAAUUUUUCAUUAUAAAAAUAAAAUAAAUGUUGACACUAGUAUUGCAACCAAGACAUGGGAUUUUUGCAAAUCUAUUGAUAUUCAUGAAAGUGAAUGGGAAGAAUAUUCGAAGCUGAUUAUUUUACUCUUUGAACAUAUGUCAAAUGAGGAAUUCUCAGAAGCUUCUCAUGAAUUAUUACAAAUUAUCGACUGUCGCGUCGGUCGGAGGGCGGGAGAGGCAGGUGAUGACAAACAAAUGUUGAAAUGGCAAUUGCAUAAAUGAGGAGACUGCCGGUCUAGAGAAUAACAAAGUAGGUUGAGGGGGUAGGGAGGAGAAGUGAAAAAUCGAAACUUUGGAAAAGAAACUAACUUUUCAGGCAAGGUCGUCUCUACCCCUUCCAGCCGACAGUCCCCUCAUCUACACAAUAUUACUAUUGUCAAUCUUUGCCGCACCCCUUCUUCCCACGUCCGACCAACGGUUUCAUUAUCUAGAAUCUAGACAUACGUUGCUGUAAAUGAGUUUCACUUUAUAUGA
rnacentral:misc_RNA from 1 species